rnacentral:lncRNA from 1 species
UCAUCUCCUCCUACUCCGGCUGUGCCAACGCCUGCCUCGUCACCGGUGGCUGUGACUCCGGUCAGCUCGCCACCUGCUCCGGUUCCGGUCAGCUCUCCACCUUUGCUCCCGCCUGCGAAAUCUCCUCCUGUUCCGGCGCCGGCAAACCCCCCCGCGGCUUCUCCUCCGGCUCCGGUUUCUUCGCCUCCUGCAGAGACUCCGGCUGCAGAGGUUCCGUCACCUGCUCCGAGCAAGAAGAAGACUAAGAAGCUCAAAUCGCCGGCCCCUGCUCCGGCGCCGGAGGCGCUGAGUCCUC